rnacentral:rRNA from 1 species
UUGUUUAAUCAAUUUAUUCUGAUGCUAGAAUUUUAUUUAUGUUAUUAUUUAGUUUUUAUUUUAAUAAAGUAUUCUAAUUUUAUUAUUUUUACGAAAAAAUUUUUUUUAUUAUAGUUGAUUUGUAUUGUGAAAGAAUAUUUUAAAUUGACGAUAAGAAAGAUUAAUUUUUUGUACCUUGUGUAUCAGGGCCAAUUAAAUUAUUUAUAUGUACAAAUUAUAGAUCUCGAAUCUAAAAGAGCUAAAAUUAUAUUUUGUAACUGUUAUAUAAUUUUAAAAAAUAUAAUUUUAGUAAUGAAACGUUAUUCGUUUUUUGAUAUAUCUAGUUUUUUGAGAAAUAAAUUUAAUUUAUUUAUUUUUAAAAUUUUUUUAAUUUAUUAAUUAAAUUUUGAGAAUAUAAAAUUUUCUUAGGGAAAAGCUUGAGGAAAAAUGUUUAUUUAAAUUUAAUAUAAGAUUUGUAGGUAGGAUUAUAAUUUUCCGUCUUUUAUAAAAUGUUAUAGUUUUCUUAUUAUGAAUUAUUAUUUUUAUAAUUAAUAGGUUGGGUAUCAAAAUAUUUUAUUAAAUGUAAAAGUUUAAGUAAUAAUGAUUGGAUUAGUAUAUUUUUAUGUAUUAAUAUUUUUACAUUUUAGAUGUAAAUAAUGAAUUCGGCAAUAUUAUUUUUCACCUGUUUAUUAAAAACAUGUCCUUUAGAUAAAAAUUUAAGGUCUGGCCUGCUCUAUGAUGAUAGAUUAAAUGGCUGCAGUAUUUUGACUGUACUAAGGUAGCAUAAUCAUUAGUUUCUUGAUUGGGAACUGGAAUGAAAGGUUUGAUGAAAAAAUGACUGUCUCUUAUAUAUAAAUAGAAAUUUAUUUUUAAGUAAAAAAGCUUAAAUUUAAUUGAAAGACGAGAAGACCCUAUAGAGUUUUAUAAUUUAAUAGUUUUUAUUAAUAAAAAUUUAUUUAAACUAGGAUAAUUAUUUGAUUGGGGUGAUUAAAAAAUUAAUAGAACUUUUAUUAGUUAAAACUUAAGUUUAAGGUUUAUUUGAUCCAUUUUUAACGAUUAUAAGAAUAAAUUACCUUAGGGAUAACAGCAUAAUCUUUUUUUAGAGUUCUAAUCGAUAAAAGGGAUUGUGACCUCGAUGUUGGAUUAAAAUUUACUUUUGGCGCAAAAGCUAGAUGGUUGAGUCUGUUCGACUUUUAAAAUUUUACAUGAUCUGAGUUUAAACCGGCGUGAGCCAGGUUGGUUUCUAUCUUUAAUAAAAUAAAAAUUUUUAGUACGAAAGGACCAAAUUUUUGAUUUAAAAUUUUAAA